UAAGCGACUAAGCGUACACGGUGGAUGCCCUGGCAGUCAGAGGCGAUGAAGGACGUGCUAAUCUGCGAUAAAGCGUCGGUAAGGUGAUAUGAACCGUUAUAACCGGCGAUUUACCGAAUGGGGAAACCCAGUGUGUUUCGACACACUAUCAUUAACUGAAUCCAUAAGGUUAAUGAAGGCGAACCGGGGGAACUGAAACAUCUAAGUACCCCGAGGAAAAGAAAUCAACCGAGAUUCCCCCAGUAGCGGCGAGCGAACGGGGAGGAGCCCAGAGCCUGAAUCAGUGUGUGUGUUAGUGGAAGCGUCUGGAAAGGCGCGCGAUACAGGGUGACAGCCCCGUACACAAAAAUGCACAUGCUGUGAGCUCGAUGAGUAGGGCGGGACACGUGGUAUCCUGUCUGAAUAUGGGGGGACCAUCCUCCAAGGCUAAAUACUCCUGACUGACCGAUAGUGAACCAGUACCGUGAGGGAAAGGCGAAAAGAACCCCGGCGAGGGGAGUGAAAAAGAACCUGAAACCGUGUACGUACAAGCAGUGGGAGCCAGAGCAAUCUGUGUGACUGCGUACCUUUUGUAUAAUGGGUCAGCGACUUAUAUUCUGUAGCAAGGUUAACCGAAUAGGGGAGCCGAAGGGAAACCGAGUCUUAACCGGGCGUUAAGUUGCAGGGUAUAGACCCGAAACCCGGUGAUCUAGCCAUGGGCAGGUUGAAGGUUGGGUAACACUAACUGGAGGACCGAACCGACUAAUGUUGAAAAAUUAGCGGAUGACUUGUGGCUGGGGGUGAAAGGCCAAUCAAACCGGGAGAUAGCUGGUUCUCCCCGAAAGCUAUUUAGGUAGCGCCUCGUGAAUUCAUCUCCGGGGGUAGAGCACUGUUUCGGCAAGGGGGUCAUCCCGACUUACCAACCCGAUGCAAACUGCGAAUACCGGAGAAUGUUAUCACGGGAGACACACGGCGGGUGCUAACGUCCGUCGUGAAGAGGGAAACAACCCAGACCGCCAGCUAAGGUCCCAAAGUCAUGGUUAAGUGGGAAACGAUGUGGGAAGGCCCAGACAGCCAGGAUGUUGGCUUAGAAGCAGCCAUCAUUUAAAGAAAGCGUAAUAGCUCACUGGUCGAGUCGGCCUGCGCGGAAGAUGUAACGGGGCUAAACCAUGCACCGAAGCUGCGGCAGCGACACUGUGUGUUGUUGGGUAGGGGAGCGUUCUGUAAGCCUGUGAAGGUGUGCUGUGAGGCAUGCUGGAGGUAUCAGAAGUGCGAAUGCUGACAUAAGUAACGAUAAAGCGGGUGAAAAGCCCGCUCGCCGGAAGACCAAGGGUUCCUGUCCAACGUUAAUCGGGGCAGGGUGAGUCGACCCCUAAGGCGAGGCCGAAAGGCGUAGUCGAUGGGAAACAGGUUAAUAUUCCUGUACUUGGUGUUACUGCGAAGGGGGGACGGAGAAGGCUAUGUUGGCCGGGCGACGGUUGUCCCGGUUUAAGCGUGUAGGCUGGUUUUCCAGGCAAAUCCGGAAAAUCAAGGCUGAGGCGUGAUGACGAGGCACUACGGUGCUGAAGCAACAAAUGCCCUGCUUCCAGGAAAAGCCUCUAAGCAUCAGGUAACAUCAAAUCGUACCCCAAACCGACACAGGUGGUCAGGUAGAGAAUACCAAGGCGCUUGAGAGAACUCGGGUGAAGGAACUAGGCAAAAUGGUGCCGUAACUUCGGGAGAAGGCACGCUGAUAUGUAGGUGAAGUCCCUCGCGGAUGGAGCUGAAAUCAGUCGAAGAUACCAGCUGGCUGCAACUGUUUAUUAAAAACACAGCACUGUGCAAACACGAAAGUGGACGUAUACGGUGUGACGCCUGCCCGGUGCCGGAAGGUUAAUUGAUGGGGUCAGCGCAAGCGAAGCUCUUGAUCGAAGCCCCGGUAAACGGCGGCCGUAACUAUAACGGUCCUAAGGUAGCGAAAUUCCUUGUCGGGUAAGUUCCGACCUGCACGAAUGGCGUAAUGAUGGCCAGGCUGUCUCCACCCGAGACUCAGUGAAAUUGAACUCGCUGUGAAGAUGCAGUGUACCCGCGGCAAGACGGAAAGACCCCGUGAACCUUUACUAUAGCUUGACACUGAACAUUGAGCCUUGAUGUGUAGGAUAGGUGGGAGGCUUUGAAGUGUGGACGCCAGUCUGCAUGGAGCCGACCUUGAAAUACCACCCUUUAAUGUUUGAUGUUCUAACGUGGACCCGUGAUCCGGGUUGCGGACAGUGUCUGGUGGGUAGUUUGACUGGGGCGGUCUCCUCCUAAAGAGUAACGGAGGAGCACGAAGGUUGGCUAAUCCUGGUCGGACAUCAGGAGGUUAGUGCAAUGGCAUAAGCCAGCUUGACUGCGAGCGUGACGGCGCGAGCAGGUGCGAAAGCAGGUCAUAGUGAUCCGGUGGUUCUGAAUGGAAGGGCCAUCGCUCAACGGAUAAAAGGUACUCCGGGGAUAACAGGCUGAUACCGCCCAAGAGUUCAUAUCGACGGCGGUGUUUGGCACCUCGAUGUCGGCUCAUCACAUCCUGGGGCUGAAGUAGGUCCCAAGGGUAUGGCUGUUCGCCAUUUAAAGUGGUACGCGAGCUGGGUUUAGAACGUCGUGAGACAGUUCGGUCCCUAUCUGCCGUGGGCGCUGGAGAACUGAGGGGGGCUGCUCCUAGUACGAGAGGACCGUAGUGGACGCAUCACUGGUGUUCGGGUUGUCAUGCCAAUGGCACUGCCCGGUAGCUAAAUGCGGAAGAGAUAAGUGCUGAAAGCAUCUAAGCACGAAACUUGCCCCGAGAUGAGUUCUCCCUGACCCUUUAAGGGUCCUGAAGGAACGUUGAAGACGACGACGUUGAUAGGCCGGGUGUGUAAGCGCAGCGAUGCGUUGAGCUAACCGGUACUAAUGAACCGUGAGGCUUAACCU
rnacentral:rRNA from 1 species